CCUGUGUCCAAUCAAUAACAUCAGAAGAUCAUCUGAUACAUCACUCUUAGCCACUGCACUGGAUGACUCCAGUCUGAAACCUUCUCCCUUUUCUUUCUUCCUUUGAGGACAAUCUCUCUUCAUGUUCUCUAGCUGCCUGCACAUAUAACACCUUACCUCUUUGAUACUCCUUGGGGAAUUCUGCCUUCUCGCUGCCUUGCAUCUAUCC
rnacentral:lncRNA from 1 species